rnacentral:rRNA from 1 species
GACGAACGCUGGCGGCGUGCUUAACACAUGCAAGUCGAACGGAAAGGCCCUGCUUUUGCGGGGUGCUCGAGUGGCGAACGGGUGAGUAACACGUGAGUAACCUGCCCUUGACUUUGGGAUAACUUCAGGAAACUGGGGCUAAUACCGGAUAGGAGCUCCUGCUGCAUGGUGGGGGUUGGAAAGUUUCGGCGGUUGGGGAUGGACUCGCGGCUUAUCAGCUUGUUGGUGGGGUAGUGGCUUACCAAGGCUUUGACGGGUAGCCGGCCUGAGAGGGUGACCGGCCACACUGGGACUGAGAUACGGCCCAGACUCCUACGGGAGGCAGCAGUGGGGAAUAUUGCACGAUGGGCGGAGGCCGGAUGAAGAAACGCCGCGUGCGGGAUAACGGCCUUCGGGGUGUAAACCACUUUCGCCUGUGACGAAGCGUGAGUGACGGUAAUGGGUAAAGAAGCACCGGCUAACUACGUG